GCACCCGUAGCUCAGCUGGAUAGAGCGUCUGCCUCCGGAGCAGAAGGUCACAGGUUCGAAUCCUGUCGGGUGCGCCA
rnacentral:tRNA from 1 species